CGGGCAUACAGAUAGUGAUGUGCAUAGGGGCAAAAGAAGUCAUAAUGGGAAAGCCAUGUGGAGGCAGCAGAGUGCCUGGUGUCCAAGGAAGCAUGUAUAGGGGGUACAUAUGGUGGCAGUUGUAUGCUCAGCAGAAGAAGCACCAGGGAGGUGAAGGUCACGUUGACAGCAUGAACCUUCGAUGUGAUGUGAGGAAAAUGGCAUUCUACCUCUGUGUUCUUCCUCCCCAAAAUUUGUAACCACCAUCUAAUCAUGAGGAAAACAUCAUACAAGUCCAAAUUGAGGAAGAUUCUACAAAAUGCCUGAUUAAUAUUCAUCGAAACUGUCAAGGUCAUCAAAAGCAAGGAAAGUCUGAGAAACUGCCACAGCCUAAAGACAAUCCAGGGAAACGUGAUGACUCAGUGGUAUUCGGGGUGGGUUUCUGGAACAGCAAAAGGACAACAGGUACCCUGAGCCACUAUCUAAAUUGUCUGCUUACCUUAUGAAGACACCAUAAGGAGGUAUAACGUGUGGUGAGCACAGGUGAAGAGCUAGAGGCCUGAAACUAGAUGGGGAGGGAGAAGCCAGCCAUGCCUGCAUCCAGGGCUGCACUCAGCCUCCCAGCAUCUGUGCAGAGGCAUCAGUCAAGCCACAGCUAACUGCAGUCCCAGCUAACAUUAUGUGGAACAUCCCAGUCAUCCCAGAUCAUCCCAGUCAACCAAGAUCAUAAAAUUGUUUUCAGCUAUUAAGUUUAAAUAUGUGAAAUAAGGAGAUAAAAAUACUGACUUGGACUCUGUCUGAAUGAAAGGAUUAGUAGAUUAGAUUAGUGAUUCUU
rnacentral:lncRNA from 10 species